GACGAACGCUGGCGGCGUGCCUAAUACAUGCAGGUAGAACGCUGAAGGAGGAGCUUGCUUCUCUGGAUGAGUUGCGAACGGGUGAGUAACGCGUAGGUAACCUGCCUGGUAGCGGGGGAUAACUAUUGGAAACGAUAGCUAAUACCGCAUAAUAGUAGAUGUUGCAUGACAUUUGCUUAAAAGGUGCAAUUGCAUCACUACCAGAUGGACCUGCGUUGUAUUAGCUAGUUGGUGGGGUAACGGCUCACCAAGGCGACGAUACAUAGCCGACCUGAGAGGGUUGUCCGCCCACACGGGAACGGGGCAACGCCCAGGCUCCUUCGGGGAGGAGCAGUAAGGGAUUUUCGGGCAAGGACGGAAGGCCGACCGAGCAACGCCGCGUGAGGUGAGGAGGGUUUUGGGAUGGAAAGGUCUGUUUUAAGGGGAGGAAGGGUUGUGGGAUUGAAAGUUCACACUGUGACGGUAUCUUACCAGAAAGGGACGGCUAACUACGUG
rnacentral:rRNA from 1 species